UACGUAGGGGGCAAGCGUUGUCCGGAAUCAUUGGGCGUAAAGAGCGUGUAGGCGGCCCGAUAAGUCCGCCGUGAAAGUCCAGGGCUCAACCCUGGAAUGCCGGUGGAAACUGUCGGGCUGGAGUCCGGAAGAGGCGAGUGGAAUUCCGUGGUGUAGCGGUGAAAUGCGCAGAUAUCAGGAGGAACACCAAUGGCGAAGGCAGCUCGCUGGGACGGUACUGACGCUGAGGAGCGAAAGCAUGGGGAGCGAACAGG
rnacentral:rRNA from 1 species